UACGAAGGGUGCAAGCGUUAAUCGGAAUUACUGGGCGUAAAGCGCACGUAGGCGGGUUUGUAAGUAGGGGGUGAAAUCCCAGAGCUCAACUCUGGAACUGCCUUCUAAACUGCAAGCCUGGAGGUCAGGAGAGGCGAGUGGAAUACCGAGUGUAGAGGUGAAAUUCGUAGAUAUUCGGUGGAACACCAGUGGCGAAGGCGACUCGCUGGACUGAUACUGACGCUGAGGUGCGAAAGCGUGGGGAGCAAACAGG
rnacentral:rRNA from 1 species